rnacentral:tRNA from 1 species
CCUCUAAUAGUUCAAUGGAUAGAACAAGCCCCUCCUAAGGGCUAGAUUCAGGUUCGAUUCCUGGUUGGAGGACAA